CAGACCGUUUACCCUGCAACGUAUGGUGCAAAGUGCCGUAUUAAGACCUUUCCCUUAAGGAAAAGAAGAAGAAAAAAAAGGGGGAAAAAGAAAACAGGGUAAAGAGAAAAAGAUCAUGCAUAAACCUAAGCAUUUCACUGGAAGUAAAACGCGAGUUUAUCGCUUCCUUACAGAGAUGGAACCAAGGACAGCAAAUGCUGACGAGGAGAAGAGACGGACGAGCGUUUGCUUGCGGUUAAUACCGAAGGGACGGGAUGAAACAAGGAAGCCAGAAUGCAGCGGCCCCUCGAUAUCACCAGGAACUGCUACAGGAGGAGGCGUUCUGGCACGGGUAACUAGGGUAAGUAUGGCUAAUGACCGUUAGCAGUUAUUUCGGCCUCCCCGAGGCAGCGCUGAGGACUGAGUAACCCGUUCCUGCCCUGUGGCUGCUGUUGCCUGUAUCUGCCUUAGCUUUGCUUUGGCUGUUUCUCUUUUGUUUUGUUAUCGUACACGCAGCUACGGAAAGGAAUAGAUGUCAUACUUACUUUUUUAGAUUAAUUGCCACGGCUGAAGUUGAAGAGACCAAGAAACGUAAGCCGCGAAGGGGCACAUCUUGAAGAGAGGGGGCUAGACCUAGCGAUGCAGUUGUUCGUUUUGGUCGUCGCCUGUGAGGCCAGCAUGCAAGAGUAAGAGGAAGCUAGGAGCAGUCUCAAAAAGAGAUGGAACCAAGGACGGCAAAUGCUGACGAGGAGAAGAGACGGACGAGCGUUUGCUUGCGGUUAAUACCGAAGGGACGGGAUGAAACAAGGAAGCCAGAAUGCAGCGGCCCCUCGAUAUCACCAGGAACUGCUACAGGAGGAGGCGUUCUGGCACGGGUAACUAGGGUAAGUAUGGCUAAUGACCGUUAGCAGUUAUUUUGGCCUCCCCGAGGCAGCGCUGAGGACUAAGUAACCUGAGGGGCUCUGGCCUGGGUUGGGGCAGAAGUGCAGGCAGGCGGGAUCAGGCAUUUUCCUCUCAGCUCUCCGAGCUGAAUCCUAGCCCUGAAGGAAAAAGCACUGGGGGGAGGCUACUCGGACACCUGCCAUGUCGAGGGCAGGGGCAGGAGCUGACCCUUCCCCGACGGACGGACGUACGGACAGACGCUGGUGCGGCGGUGACUCUUUGGAUAUCGUAGGGCAGGAAGUGUUUUCCAUCUCCGAUGGUGUUGCAAGACAACCUUGGAAGCUCAGAAAGUGUUCCUGCUGUUUAAACUAGGCAGAUGAGGAGAUGUUGCCAAUUUAGCAAAGGAAUUUGAGGUAUCCCCGAACUGAACUGUCCUCAUUAUAAUACAAGAAAAUCACGCCCAUAGGUCAGAAAGACCUGUGCCCGGGUGAAGACCCCUCCCCUGAGCAUGCGUAGUUUUAAAAUGGUGUGUAAGCAAUAUUAGAAUUGUAUGUAAAUCACUAACCAACCGGUGUAAGAGGGAAAGUUGCAAACCUUGCAACUUGUAUAAAUGCUACUUGGAAAGCCGGGGCGGGGGGGGGAAGUUGCGCUUGAUUUGUGGGAAAACACCGAGCAGCCAGGCUUGCACAACUCUGAAAUAAAUAAGCAAAUGUCUCUCC